AUGUAGGUGAGACGCUUUGCAUUGGGCGCUCACGGGGAAACUACAAAUGAAGCUGUGCAGGGUGAUAUUGACUGGACUAGUUUUGAAGUGACGGAAGCUCGCAACAAAAUUG
rnacentral:lncRNA from 1 species